UACGUAGGGUGCAAGCGUUAAUCGGAAUUACUGGGCGUAAAGCGUGCGCAGGCGGUGAUGUAAGACAGAUGUGAAAUCCCCGGGCUCAACCUGGGAACUGCAUUUGUGACUGCAUCGCUGGAGUACGGCAGAGGGGGAUGGAAUUCCGCGUGUAGCAGUGAAAUGCGUAGAUAUGCGGAGGAACACCGAUGGCGAAGGCAGCCCCCUGGGCUGAGAUUGACGCUCAGGCACGAAAGCGUGGGGAGCGAACAGG
rnacentral:rRNA from 1 species